CUUAACUCAUUCUUAACUCUUGAUCGAAGAGGUUCAACCUAAGACCAUAGACUAAAUAUCAAAAACAAUAUUCCAUUAUCCGAGACAAUCUAAUCUAGGUAGAGGACUCGGCUGAGGUGAUUGCGCCCCAUAUUGGACAAAUCCAUCAAACUCCAAAGAUAGCAUUGCAUCAUGUUCGGAUGACCUCAGCCCCCUGUUAUCCGCCUGUCUAAAAUGGAACAAAUUUGAUCUGUCUUUUCAAAUACCAGAGAAGCCUGCAUAUGGUGGCAAUUCUAGUACUUUCUGGUCUCCCUGUCAUCAUCUUAUUUCACCCAUAACUUAUUUUGGAUUGGGUGACGUGUGCAUUUUGCAUUAUGUACACUUUGUGGGAUUUCUCUGCGCCCCAUUUCUUUUGAUCUGGGAGCUGCAUUUUUUAAUGCAAUCAUCCCUUAAAUUACAAAAAUAUAUGAUCCUCUGAUUUUUCUUGAACACAGAUGAUCAAGGGAUUGGAUGAUAUGCUUCUACACUUGCAGUCCAGAAGCUACUGAAAUUGAGACAACUGCUUGAACUUUACCUCUGGAUCUGAGGCCUCUCUCGAAUCAUGAUUUUGGUCGCAUUGGUUGUACGUCUGAUGGAAGAUUUUUCAUAUGUAGCAUCUAGAAUUAUAUCACGUCUGGCACGUCUGUUGCCAAUGCCCAGGAAUGUUCGGCGAUCUAUUUUGCGUUGGAUUCAACCGUUGCAAAUGCAAUAUACUGUCCAUCGAAUGUUGGAAACCUAGCAUUUCCAGCAAAUGGAAAUCGAUGAGAAAAAGGCAUUUGAGUGUUCCUGCUGUAAAAACAUCCAUUCAGGUACAUAUCUCAGAAAGUAGAUUAUUAUAAACUAACAUAUCUACUUGGAAAUGCAGUGAAGCUGGUGACUAACGGACUUUGCAAUGGAGGACUAGUUGUUCUUCAUGUGCCAAGUUUGGGUCUGAUCUAGGAAAAUAUGUCGCAACAGUAUCCAUCUGGUGUGAUUAACGAAACAAAUCCAGUCUUCUUUGUGAAAUCCUAUAUAUGUAAUGUUACAAGUAGGUAUGUUGUAUGCAUGCUUUUCUUGUGGAAGAAUCAGAUUGUUGGCACAGCAUGUUAGCAAUUAUGUAUUAGAUACUGUCUCCACCUAGUUGUAAUGGAUUUCUUCCUAGCCCAGCUGUAAAGAAAUAGUUAAAGCUGUAAAUGCUUUGUAUAGGCUUCCAUGAUUGAAAUACUCUCUCAUUUGGAGUCAAGAAUUAUUGAGGUGGUAUCAAGUGAUGAAAACUUGUUUGAUACUGGAUAUGUAAGCAGCUCAGUCCGAGAGCAUUUUUGCAAUUUCUUUAUCGACUUACAGCAUCCUGUGUUUAUUUUUGUUUAAUUCAAUUAUCUGUUUUUCCUUU